rnacentral:misc_RNA from 1 species
GUUCUUGUUCAAUCAAUCUGCACAGUGCUAAUUAAUUUCCCAAAUAAUUUUGUGAUGUUCAGUAUUAUUGAAAAAUUUUAGUAAAGUGACAUUUGAAAAGUCGUGAAAAGGAGAAAUUGGUUCUUCAAAAACACAGAUUGUUUGCACGACAGUGACAUCUGUUGUCGUAGGCGGCAACCCUAUCUUUAUGUAGGCAAUUCUACAUGAAAUUAGCCGAGAAUCCAAUUAGUGAAACAUACGUAGACAACUGGAUAUUACCCACUAACUAUACUUUUUAUCUCUUUAUCUUUAAAAUAAUUAUUUGUUUAUAAAUUUAAUAACUGUAUUUUUAUAUGUAUGUCUUUCUUUAAUUGGACUUAUUAUUCUAUAUAGACAAUCACAUAUGUAAAUACACAUUUCCA